GACGUAGGGCGCGAAGCGUUGUCCGGAUUUAUUGGGCGUAAAGAGCUCGUAGGCGGCUUGUCGCGUCGACUUGUGAAAUCCCGCGGCUCAACUGCGGGUCUGCAGUCGAUACGGGCAGGCUAGAGUUCGGUAGGGGAGACUGGAAUUCCUGGUGUAGCGGUGAAAUGCGCAGAUAUCAGGAGGAACACCGAUGGCGAAGGCAGGUCUCUGGGCAUUAACUGACGCUGAGGAGCGAAAGCGUGGGGAGCAAACAGG
rnacentral:rRNA from 1 species